AUUGAACGCUGGCGGCAUGCUUUACACAUGCAAGUCGAACGGCAGCGCGGGCUUCGGCCUGGCGGCGAGUGGCGAACGGGUGAGUAAUGCAUCGGAACGUGCCCAGUAGUGGGGGAUAGCCCGGCGAAAGCCGGAUUAAUACCGCAUACGACCUGAGGGUGAAAGCGGGGGACCGAAAGGCCUCGCGCUAUUGGAGCGGCCGAUGUCGGAUUAGCUAGUUGGUGGGGUAAAGGCUUAACAAGGCGACGAUCCGUAGCUGGUCUGAGAGGACGACCAGCCACACUGGGACUGAGACACGGCCCAGACUCCUACGGGAGGCAGCAGUGGGGAAUUUUGGACAAUGGGGGCAACCCUGAUCCAGCCAUGCCGCGUGCGGGAAGAAGGCCUUCGGGUUGUAAACCGCUUUUGUUCGGGAAGAAAUCCUCUGGGCUAAUACCCCGGGGGGAUGACGGUACCGGAAGAAUAAGCACCGGCUAACUACGUG
rnacentral:rRNA from 1 species